rnacentral:rRNA from 1 species
GACGAACGCUGGCGGCGUGCUUAACACAUGCAAGUCGAACGGAAAGGCCCUGCUUUUGUGGGGUGCUCGAGUGGCGAACGGGUGAGUAACACGUGAGUAACCUGCCCUUGACUUUGGGAUAACUUCAGGAAACUGGGGCUAAUACCGGAUAGGAGCUCCUGCUGCAUGGUGGGGGUUGGAAAGUUUCGGCGGUUGGGGAUGGACUCGCGGCUUAUCAGCUUGUUGGUGGGGUAGUGGCUUACCAAGGCUUUGACGGGUAGCCGGCCUGAGAGGGUGACCGGCCACAGUGGGACUGAGAUACGGCCCAGACUCCUACGGGCGGCAGCAGUGGGGAAUAUUGCACAAUGGGCGGAAGCCUGAUGCAGCAACGCCGCGUGCGGGAUGACGGCCUUCGGGUUGUAAACCGCUUUCGCCUGUGACGAAGCGUGAGUGACGGUAAUGGGUAAAGAAGCACCGGCUAACUACGUG